rnacentral:rRNA from 1 species
AACGAACGCUAUCGGUAUGCUUAACACAUGCAAGUCGGACGGACUAAUUAGGGCUUGCUCCAAUUAGUUAGUGGCAGACGGGUGAGUAACACGUGGGAAUCUGCCCAUCAGUACGGAAUAACUUUUAGAAAUAAAAGCUAAUACCGUAUAUUCUCUACAGAGGAAAGAUUUAUCGCUGAUGGAUGAGCCCGCGUCAGAUUAGGUAGUUGGUGAGGUUACGGCUCACCAAGCCGACGAUCUGUAGCUGGUCUGAGAGGAUGAUCAGCCACACUGGGACUGAGACACGGCCCAGACUCCUACGGGAGGCAGCAGUGGGGAAUAUUGGACAAUGGGCGAAAGCCUGAUCCAGCAAUACCGAGUGAGUGAUAAAGGCCCUAGGGUUGUAAAGCUCUUUUAGCAAGGAAGAUAAUGACGUUACUUGCAGAAAAAGCCCCGGCUAACUCCGUG